AUUCAUUGGCUGAGUGUGAGGCGUUGUAUUGAUUUCACUCAAUCCAAGCCCCAUAUUCAUCAUAGGUUCAU
rnacentral:pre_miRNA from 1 species